AAAGAAAGAAAGAAAUAAACGCAAGCUCUUUUAAAGUAGAAGUUACUUCAGAGCAAUAAUAAAUAAAUCAGUUUUACAACUGCUUGAUUGGGGCAUCCCUGGCCGAACGGUAUCACUCGCCAAACUCUGUGUGAAGCUUGAAGGAUGCGGGCUCGAAUCUCGCUGUUACCCUGGGUGUAUCUUCGUGCUGCCCUUCUCUGCAUUGUGCUGUAUGUCAUUCUAUUUGAGAAAGGUUUCUAAGCCUUAAUUGAGCACACAUGCCUUUAAAUGUAUGUAAUUUCAAUAAGCCGAUAAACUGUUUAUUUUCGUCAAUGGUCAACGUGAAUUUUAUUAAUGUUUUAAUCUUACCGAUUGUCAAACUCAUUUUUAUCUUUAUGUAUCUUUUAUUAUCAAUCUGUAUUUUACUUUAACAUGAAGCACUUCAUUAUAAAAAAAUGACGUUUUUUUAUUUGAGUUCUUCAGUAAAGUUGAUCAUUCAAGGGGAUGCCACGUAACAAAAGACGUCAGUGUUCUAGAGAUAAUUUUUACUGAUGUUCAUGCAUGAAACAGCGAAUUUAAAUAGGGAAAAAUGCAGUUUAGGUAUUCUUGUGACAUUUAGCUUUUCUGCAUCUGAAAAAAUUGCACAUGGUUGAUCAGUCUACCAUGGAUAAUGCAGAUGGAUAUAAAAUGGGAUUCUGCAAUGACUGACGAAAAGAAAGAAACCGCAUUUGAGAUAACUGGAUGACUUUGAAACCAUUUUUCGAGAUUUUUAGAUAUUUUUUUUACUAGUUAGAGAUACCGCUUUGUCGCUCUUUUUAUGAAAUAAAGAAAAUUACUCAAAAA